rnacentral:rRNA from 1 species
GAGUUUGAACCUGGCUCAGGAUGAACGCUGGCGGCGUGCCUAAUACAUGCAAGUCGAGCGAACAGAUAAGGAGCUUGCUCCUUUGAAGUUAGCGGCGGACGGGUGAGUAACACGUGGGUAACCUACCUAUAAGACUGGGAUAACUUCGGGAAACCGGAGCUAAUACCGGAUAACAUUUAGAACCGCAUGGUUCUAAAGUGAAAGAUGGUUUUGCUAUCACUUAUAGAUGGACCCGCGCCGUAUUAGCUAGUUGGUAAGGUAACGGCUUACCAAGACGACGAUACGCAGCCGACCUGAGAGGGUGAUCGGCCACACUGGAACUGAGACACGGUCCAGACUCCUACGGGAGGCAGCAGUAGGGAAUCUUCCGCAAUGGGCGAAAGCCUGACGGAGCAACGCCGCGUGAGUGAUGAAGGGUUUCGGCUCGUAAAACUCUGUUAUUAGGGAAGAACAAAUGUGUAAGUAACUGUGCACAUCUUGACGGUACCUAAUCAGAAAGCCACGGCUAACUACGUGCCAGCAGCCGCGGUAAUACGUAGGUGGCAAGCGUUAUCCGGAAUUAUUGGGCGUAAAGCGCGCGUAGGCGGUUUCUUAAGUCUGAUGUGAAAGCCCACGGCUCAACCGUGGAGGGUCAUUGGAAACUGGGAAACUUGAGUGCAGAAGAGGAAAGUGGAAUUCCAUGUGUAGCGGUGAAAUGCGCAGAGAUAUGGAGGAACACCAGUGGCGAAAGCGACUUU